AUUGAACGCUGGCGGCAGGCCUAACACAUUCAAGUCGAACGAGUGGCGGACGGGUGAGUAAUGUCUGGGAAACUGCCCGAUCGCUGGGGAUAACUCCUGGAAACGGUAGCUAAUACCGCAUACCAUCUGAUGUGCCCAGAUGGGAUUAGCUAGUCGGUGGGGUAACUACUCACCUAGGCGACGUUCCCUAGCUGGUCUGAGAGGAUGACCAGCAACACUGGAACUGUGACACGGUCCAGACUCCUACGAGGGGCAGCAGUGGGGAAUAUUGCACAAUGGGCGCAAGCCUGAUGCAGCCAUGCCGCGUGUAUGAAGAAGGCCUUCGGGUUGUAAAGUACUUUCAGCGAGGAGGCGUUACUCGCAGAAGAAGCACCGGCUAACUCCGUGCCAGCAGCCGCGGUAAUUC
rnacentral:rRNA from 1 species